GGAGGGUGCAAGCGUUAAUCGGAAUUACUGGGCGUAAAGCGUGCGUAGGCGGUUUAUUAAGUCAGAUGUGAAAGCCCCGGGCUUAACCUGGGAACUGCAUUUGAAACUGGUCAACUAGAGUAUGGUAGAGGAAAGUGGAAUUUCUGGUGUAGCGGUGAAAUGCGUAGAUAUCAGAAGGAACAUCAAUGGCGAAGGCAGCUUUCUGGACCAAUACUGACGCUGAGGUACGAAAGCGUGGGUAGCAAACAGGAUUAGAUACCCUGGUAGUCCACGCCGUAAACGAUGAUAACUAGCCGUUGGGGGGAUUUACCCCUUAGUGGCGAAGCUAACGCGUUAAGUUAUCCGCCUGGGGAGUACGGCCGCAAGGCUAAAACUCAAAGGAAUUGACGGGGACCCGCACAAGCGGUGGAGCAUGUGGUUUAAUUCGAUGCAACGCGAAGAACCUUACCUGGUCUUGACAUCCUGCGAACUUUCUAGAAAUAGAUUGGUGCCUUCGGGAACGCAGUGACAGGUGCUGCAUGGCUGUCGUCAGCUCGUGUCGUGAGAUGUUGGGUUAAGUCCCGUAACGAGCGCAACCCCUAUCCUUAUUUGCCAGCACAUUAUGGUGGGAACUAUAAGGAGACUGCCGGUGAUAAACCGGAGGAAGGCGGGGACGACGUCAAGUCAUCAUGGCCCUUACGACCAGGGCUACACACGUGCUACAAUGGGAAGGACAAAGAGCCGCGAAGCCGCGAGGUGUAGCUAAUCUCACAAAUCUUUUCGUAGUCCGGAUUGGAGUCUGCAACUCGACUCCAUGAAGUCGGAAUCGCUAGUAAUCGUAGAUCAGAAUGCUACGGUGAAUACGUUCCCGGGUCUU
rnacentral:rRNA from 1 species